rnacentral:rRNA from 1 species
GAUGAACGCUAGCUACAGGCUUAACACAUGCAAGUCGAGGGGCAGCAUGGUCUUAGCUUGCUAAGGCCGAUGGCGACCGGCGCACGGGUGAGUAACGCGUAUCCAACCUGCCUUACACUCUUGGACAGCCUUCUGAAAGGGAGAUUAAUACAAGAUGUUAUCAUGAGUAAGCAUUUUCGCAUGAUUAAAGGUUUACCGGUGUAAGAUGGGGAUGCGUUCCAUUAGAUAGUAGGCGGGGUAACGGCCCACCUAGUCUUNGAUGGAUAGGGGUUCUGAGAGGAAGGUCCCCCACAUUGGAACUGAGACACGGUCCAAACUCCUACGGGAGGCAGCAGUGAGGAAUAUUGGUCAAUGGACGAGAGUCUGAACCAGCCAAGUAGCGUGAAGGAUGAAGGUUCUAUGGAUUGUAAACUUCUUUUAUACGGGAAUAAACGAAUCCACGUGUGGAUUUUUGCAUGUACCGUAUGAAUAAGGAUCGGCUAACUCCGUGCCAGCAGCCGCGGUAAUACGGAGGAUCCGAGCGUUAUCCGGAUUUAUUGGGUUUAAAGGGAGCGUAGAUGGGUUGUUAAGUCAGUUGUGAAAGUUUGCGGCUCAACCGUAAAAUUGCAAUUGAUACUGGCAGUCUUGAGUACAGUUGAGGUAGGCGGAAUUCGUGGUGUAGCGGUGAAAUGCUUAGAUAUCACGAAGAACUCCGAUUGCGAAGGCAGCUUACUAACCUGUAACUGACAUUGAUGCUCGAAAGUGUGGGUAUCAAACAGGAUUAGAUACCCUGGUAGUCCACACGGUAAACGAUGAAUACUCGCUGUAGGCGAUAUACAGUCUGCGGCCAAGCGAAAGCAUUAAGUAUUCCACCUGGGGAGUACGCCGGCAACGGUGAAACUCAAAGGAAUUGACGGGGGCCCGCACAAGCGGAGGAACAUGUGGUUUAAUUCGAUGAUACGCGAGGAACCUUACCCGGGCUUAAAUUGCAACCGAAUAUGGCGGAAACGCUAUAGCUAGCAAUAGCGGUUGUGAAGGUGCUGCAUGGUUGUCGUCAGCUCGUGCCGUGAGGUGUCGGCUUAAGUGCCAUAACGAGCGCAACCCUUGCCGAUAGUUACUAACAGGUUAUGCUGAGGACUCUGUCGGGACUGCCAUCGUAAGAUGUGAGGAAGGUGGGGAUGACGUCAAAUCAGCACGGCCCUUACGUCCGGGGCUACACACGUGUUACAAUGGGGGGUACAGAGGGCUGCUACCACGCAAGUGGAUGCCAAUCCCAAAAACCUCUCUCAGUUCGGAUUGAAGUCUGCAACCCGACUUCAUGAAGCUGGAUUCGCUAGUAAUCGCGCAUCAGCCACGGCGCGGUGAAUACGUUCCCGGGCCUUGUACACACCGCCCGUCAAGCCAUGGGAGCCGGGGGUACCUGAAUUGCGUAACCGCAAGGAGCGCCCUAGGGUAAAACUGGUGACUGGGGC